AGCAUUUUCCUAUAAAUAGGGUGCUUAGGUUAGAAUUAAAAAUCACACCAGAAACUAAAGUUUUUUCUCUCUAUAUUAUCGAGCGUAUUCUUGUGAGUAUUUUGAGUAUACUUUGAGUAUUGCUAUACGGUGCAAGUUCAAGUCAUAGCCUAUAUCCGGUGUUUCAACUAGAAGUACUGUCUUUCGAGGUAAGGGAUGUUAUUUUAUUCAAAAAUGAUAUUAUUUCUUCAAUAUCAUUAUGCCGAAAUAUUGGUUGGAAAUUUUUAUCAAAUUU
rnacentral:lncRNA from 1 species